AGGAUCCUACGGGGGGCAGCAGUGAGGAAUAUUGGUCAAUGGUCGGGAGACUGAACCAGCCAAGCCGCGUGAGGGAUGAAGGUACAGAGUAUCGUAAACCUCUUUUGUCAGGGAACAAAGGCGGGGACGCGUCCCCGGAUGAGUGUACCUGAAGAAAAAGCAUCGGCUAACUCCGUGCCAGCAGCCGCGGUAAUACGGAGGAUGCGAGCGUUAUCCGGAUUUAUUGGGUUUAAAGGGUGCGCAGGCGGUCUGGUAAGUCAGCGGUCAAAGCCAGGGGCUCAACCCCGGCCCGCCGUUGAAACUGG
rnacentral:rRNA from 1 species